ACUUAUCUCCCAAGAAAUCUCUAUCCAAUACAAUUCUACCAUCGAACCCGUAACUAUGUUUCAUUGUUAUCACAGCAUUCAGCUCUGCCUCAUUGUAGAUGGGCACAUCUUUUUCCUGAAGAGCCAUAGCGGCGCUUCUAGCUUCACUCCAUUUUGACGUGGUUUCUUUGUCUCCGUCAGGCGGAAAUUGACCGUGCUUCUUGAUGGCUGACAUGAACUGAUAGAGAAUCGUAGGGAUAUCUUCGUCGGAUACCACAUCUUCUAGUCGGCGAGCACCUUUAGUUUUUUUCCUGCAUGCCAUGUGUAAUUCUUUCCUUUUCUUUCUUUUAUGUUUGUUGUU
rnacentral:lncRNA from 1 species